CCUGGGGUGAGAAGAACACACUAGACCUGUCCUGACUUCCUGACAUCCCGGUCUCUGAGAGAUUGGGGACCUGGUGCGAGGAGCAGGGACUCAGGGGCGGAGAAGACAGAGCCCAGGCUGCAUGUGAUUCACGGGUCCUCUGGGUCGCCACUCCCUGUCGGCGGACCACGUGGAAACUGAUGGAAGGAGCCAGCUCUCUGACACUCCCCUCUGUGUCAGCAGACUUGGAGGAUGCUUGGACAGCCACGUGAAGCCUUGGGAGCCCUGGGAGAUGAAGUUCUGCUGUCUGUCCUUCUGAAAGCCUCACUCGGGUUUCUUCUUAAAUGGUGUCAAGGCCCUGGAGACGUGGUGGCAGUCUGUGCUAUGCGGACCCAGCACUGUACCCUGGCCAUCCACAUCGGACACCGGAUUAGAAGUACGCAGCCUGGCGGGAGCUACUGGAACAGAGGCUGGGGAUGAGCCUCGCCCAGAUCUAGGUCUCGUGGACACUGGGGACACUUUGCUGUGCCCCAGAAAACCUAGUUCCCGACGAGGUGAAGGAGCAGGAGAAUCAAGCCCUGCUGCCAGACCUGUGAUGGAACUACAUGACUGCGCUUGCCAAACCCCACUGUCUGCUGCAGCCCAUCCCGGGGAGGGCCGGGAAGUACAUCUUCCAGGUGGACAUCCCCAAGCACCUGAUCCCCUUUGGGCAGGAGGCCUGUCCAGACUGGGCUCUCGAGACGAAGGUGACUGAGAGACCAGCUCAUGGUGACACCGUCCAGUCACCGCCGCGCCCUGCAGUGGGCUGCCCACUUGGUGCGGGGCUAGGCCGGGACUCCCCUUGUGCAGUGCUGCUCUGGACUCAGCGAGAGUCUCCGGGACUUUGACCUUUAUGAAAUGACGGUGUCGCCACUCGUUUUGGCCCUGCUGGGUCUGGGUGGUUGAGAGUGUGUUAAGAAACCGGUUAGUCUUUUUCCCUCUCUGUUCUGGCCCCAACUCCCUGAUAUUAGAAGAGUGUCCAGAGGGUGAUAGGGAAAGGCCGGGGGCUGGGCUGAGCAUCAGAAGCUGGCAAGGCCUCAGACUGUUGGAGAGGCCCACGGGCCCAGAAACAGGCUGUGGUUUGUCCUUCCAGGUGACCCUUGCACUACUGUAAAGUGUCCCUUGGCUCACAAAGUGUUUGUUGGAUGCGGUGCCUGGCUCUUCUGUGUCCAAGGACAGGCCCCUAAAUACAGCUGUGAGGGCAGAGUGACAAAGACAAAGGGUGUUCAACUUGUGGAAACAUUGUACUUGUCUUUGGGUUUGGGGUCAUGUGUUUGCAAGGCCCUUGGCUGGUGCAGUACCCUGCUUUCUGGUGGGCCUCUUGAGGAGGCCCCUGGAUCGGGAGCUGGAAACACUCAGCUGCUGAUCAGAAACUUGUGGCAACAUCAGGGGACCCAGGAGGAGCCCCUUCUGCUUCAGGGUGCAUCACUCAUGGAAGGUGACACCCCCAAGGUCAGGAGCCCGGCUGGCUUGUCUGCUGAGCAGCUAGGCAAGGCUCAGGGAGCAGCCCCUCCUGGGCUCGCCUCAGCCCUUGGCUUGUGGGUUAGACCCUUGGCCGAGCAUGUGAGAUGUUGCUACUUCAGAUGAAAAGGGACCACGAGGACUAGACCGAAGCCUGCCUGGGGUGUGGGCUUCCAGCCUCAUGUGGUUCACCCGGUUCAGUGUGUGAAGAGCACAGACAGACUGAAAGAAUACAGACUUGCAGUUCUUGUUCGA